AGCGGGAAUAUUGCACAAUGGGCGAAAGCCUGAUGCAGCGACGCCGCGUGAGGGAUGACGGCCUUCGGGUUGUAAACCUCUGUUGGUAGGGACGAUAAUGACGGUACCUACUGAGGAAGCUCCGGCUAACUCCGUGCCAGCAGCCGCGGUAAGACGGAGGGAGCAAGCGUUGUCCGGAUUUACUGGGCGUAAAGCGCGCGUAGGCGGCCUUUUAAGUCGGCUGUGAAAGCGCUGGGCUUAACUCAGCAAGCGCAGUCGAUACUGAUCGGCUCGAGUCCGGGAGAGGAAAGCGGAAUUCCUGGUGUAGCGGUGGAAUGCGUAGAUAUCAGGAAGAACACCGGUGGCGAAGGCGGCUUUCUGGACCGGCACUGACGCUGAGGCGCGAAAGCUAGGGGAGCGAACGGGAUUAGAUACCCUAGUAGUCC
rnacentral:rRNA from 1 species